UCGUACCCCAAACCGACACAGGUGGUCAGGUAGAGAAUACCAAGGCGCUUGAGAGAACUCGGGUGAAGGAACUAGGCAAAAUGGUGCCGUAACUUCGGGAGAAGGCACGCUGAUAUGUAGGUGAAGUCCCUCGCGGAUGGAGCUGAAAUCAGUCGAAGAUACCAGCUGGCUGCAACUGUUUAUUAAAAACACAGCACUGUGCAAACACGAAAGUGGACGUAUACGGUGUGACGCCUGCCCGGUGCCGGAAGGUUAAUUGAUGGGGUCAGCGCAAGCGAAGCUCUUGAUCGAAGCCCCGGUAAACGGCGGCCGUAACUAUAACGGUCCUAAGGUAGCGAAAUUCCUUGUCGGGUAAGUUCCGACCUGCACGAAUGGCGUAAUGAUGGCCAGGCUGUCUCCACCCGAGACUCAGUGAAAUUGAACUCGCUGUGAAGAUGCAGUGUACCCGCGGCAAGACGGAAAGACCCCGUGAACCUUUACUAUAGCUUGACACUGAACAUUGAGCCUUGAUGUGUAGGAUAGGUGGGAGGCUUUGAAGUGUGGACGCCAGUCUGCAUGGAGCCGACCUUGAAAUACCACCCUUUAAUGUUUGAUGUUCUAACGUGGACCCGUGAUCCGGGUUGCGGACAGUGUCUGGUGGGUAGUUUGACUGGGGCGGUCUCCUCCUAAAGAGUAACGGAGGAGCACGAAGGUUGGCUAAUCCUGGUCGGACAUCAGGAGGUUAGUGCAAUGGCAUAAGCCAGCUUGACUGCGAGCGUGACGGCGCGAGCAGGUGCGAAAGCAGGUCAUAGUGAUCCGGUGGUUCUGAAUGGAAGGGCCAUCGCUCAACGGAUAAAAGGUACUCCGGGGAUAACAGGCUGAUACCGCCCAAGAGUUCAUAUCGACGGCGGUGUUUGGCACCUCGAUGUCGGCUCAUCACAUCCUGGGGCUGAAGUAGGUCCCAAGGGUAUGGCUGUUCGCCAUUUAAAGUGGUACGCGAGCUGGGUUUAGAACGUCGUGAGACAGUUCGGUCCCUAUCUGCCGUGGGCGCUGGAGAACUGAGGGGGGCUGCUCCUAGUACGAGAGGACCGGAGUGGACGCAUCACUGGUGUUCGGGUUGUCAUGCCAAUGGCACUGCCCGGUAGCUAAAUGCGGAAGAGAUAAGUGCUGAAAGCAUCUAAGCACGAAACUUGCCCCGAGAUGAGUUCUCCCUGACCCUUUAAGGGUCCUGAAGGAACGUUGAAGACGACGACGUUGAUAGGCCGGGUGUGUAAGCGCAGCGAUGCGUUGAGCUAACCGGUACUAAUGAACCGUGAGGCUUAACCUUACAACGCCGAAGGUGUUU
rnacentral:rRNA from 1 species